CAUCACAGAAGGGGUGUCUAGGAGAGUUCUGGUUGAUCCACAGAAGGGAAUGCUUACAAAUACCAGGCUUUCAAAAAUAGAUGGUGGACCCAUCAAGUCUUCUUUAUCUAUCUUCUAGGAGAAAAUUGGGAGCAGGCUUUGUUGAGUCCAUAACAAACGCUGAGAAUCACCAAACCUUCCUGUCAGGUUCCUCACCUGUUUCCUCUUAGAGCACAGCCCUCUCCACUUGACUGGGAGCUCUCUGAAGGUGCCAUCAGAGAGCCCUGCAACCUGUGUUCAGCCAGGUUGUGUUAAUGAAUGCAUAACUGAAUGAAUCCAUGUUGACCCACAUCUCCUCAAGAUGGAGCUGUGAAGGGCACAAUCGUCAUCUUGUCAGCAAGGCCCUCCAAACCAACACCUAUGAGAGGAGGUGGUUCUACUUUGGUUCCAACAACACAAAAAAGGCAACUUUCUACUCGCCCCACCCAUCUUCAGAAACAUCUAGCCUGUCUGAAGCUGGGUAACUAAAGCUCAAGAAAUAUAAAAUCCAAAAUUUCUCUUCAAUUCUUGGAGACUCUCUUCUGCCUCAAAAACACGGCCGGCAGCAGGACACCACAAACAUGAACCUAUGCUUUUGCUAGACUCUAGCCUCCUUCUGGCACCCGCCCUACCCCUUUGCUGGGGUUCCCCAACAUAUGUGCCUGGUACUUCAUGUUACAUUCUCCAUUGUAAUCCCCCACUAUUUGAUCUUUGAACCUCUCAACCUCAACUCUUCUCACACCGUUCGCUCAUGGUUCUGCCAUUUGUGGCUGAGAAUACAGGUGUUCAUAGAAUACUUCUCAGAAACAACUAGCUUCCAGAAGUUUCUGAAGACCAAUGCACAGUGAAGUAUCUCUAAUCCUAUUUUUUUUGCAAUGUAUUCUGACAGGUGGCAUUGGAGGUUAAAAGUUUAAGUUCAAACUUUUGGUAGCUCAGUGACAUUACUGUAGGUCUUGUCCAGGAUGUGGGUAAAAAGGUAUUAAAACAUCUCUGCCCAUCUUAUGUUCUCUCAUGUUUAGAAAUUGUAAUGCAGUGAGGAAAAAAAAAAAGAGCACUACUUUGUGUCACACGGGACUUGAUUCCUAUUCCUCACUCUGCCCCUGGCCCAGGGCCUAGGGACUCAGCAGUUUUGGAUCUCAAUUUCCUCACAGCACUCCUUUACAAUUAUGAUUUGAUACGUGUGAAAUAAAUUCCCAGGACAUAAUUCUUUAGAGUUAGUCUUAAAGUAUUUUAAAACCAAAGGAAAAUUGAUUUUGUAUCAGCCAGUGGUUUCUUCAUUAUCUGGCCUUGUGAGAAUAGCCCGGGUAUCAUUGAGAAAUAGAACUGCGCAUGCGCAGACACACAGAGACCUGAGGAUUCUGUUGAUCAUUUUUCUCAAGGUCUUGCUUCAUGAGGACUCUUUCAUCUUUCUUUCCUAAGCCCCUUUAGGAAAGAACUUGGAAGAUCAGCUGCAUGAGGAAAGAUUAGCAUAGGCUGAGAAUCCAACGCAAAAAGAGGGUCUAUCCUAGCACGAAGCAAGGCAUGAAAACAUUUUCAAGCAUUUUGGGAUGAUGAUGAUAAUGACAACACCAUGUAUUUCUCCCAGGAAGCUCAAAGAACUUCAUAGGCCUCACAUCAAUCAUCCUUGCCACUUCCCCAAAAGGAAGGAAAGGGCAGGCACUGAUAUGAUAUAAAUGGCAGCAGCAGAGUGAGCCAUCACAUCGAAUGAGAGCCUUAUACAUUGUUCAUUGUCACUUGUAACCAUACAGCAACUACAGUGAAAGUCAGGGAGGGGAUGUGACCCGGUCUCAGGCCAGAAGCUACAUCUCUGGGCAAGUAGGUGCACCUGAGUUUUGUAAAUGGCACUUUGGACAAUGAUUUAUUACUGAUUAUGGCCUGUCUAGUCUCAUGUUUUCAAGUCAUAUUUUGCUGUCCUGAUGUUGUUUACGGAAUAAAACCUGGUUUCCACAAACUAGUGAUUACUAGAUUUCCCUUUAAGCUUCUGAUUGUCAAACAAUUACAGUAAUGCUCUUCAUAAUAUUUUGGUCAAUGAUGGACUGCAUAUAUAUCAGUGGUUGCAUGAGAUGAUAACGGAGCUGAAGAAUUUCUGUUACCUACUGAUGCCCUAGCUAUCAAAAUGUCCUCGCAAUGCAUUACUCACAUGUUUGUGGUGAUGCCGGUGUAAACAAGCCUACUGUGCUGUCUUUGUACAAAGUCUGACACAU